rnacentral:lncRNA from 1 species
GCUGAGUGGAGGAAAUAACCAGAAAAGAAAGAAGAGGCUGUUUAUUGUAAGUAACUUUUAUUUUAAGAUCCAGCACAAUAGGAGAGGAGUGGGGAGGGGAGAAGAGGGAGACAGACAGAGAGUGAUGGACUCUUCCAAAGUGAUAAGUGAUUAUCUGGAGGCAGGGAAUAUAAGCUGAAGGGGAAGGAGGCAACACAAACAAAAUGGGAUUUUAUACUUAGUAUAUCAAAAUCGGUCUGUGUGUAUAGAACAGCGGAGCUUGAAAAUACAAGUGUCAAGGUGAGAGAGGAAGGUUUACUUGGAUUCCGAAAGAAAUAUUUGGGGUUGAAAAUGAAAAGGAGGCCAGAAACCUUCAUCAGAAAUCGGAGAGCAACGGUCAGGCUGUGAUCUAGACAGUUUGUCCUCUCUUCUUUUGUCUCGAUUCGCCCCUCGUUUCCUACGGCUGCUGCAACAAAUUACCACAAACUGGACGAUUGAAAACAACAGAAAUGUAGUCUCUCUCUCCCAGUUCUGGAGGCCAGAAUUCUGAGAUGAAUAUCCCUGGUGUCACAGGGCUGUGCUCCCUCUGGAGGCUCUAGCGGAGAAUCUGUUCUUGCCUCUUUCAGUUCUGGCAGCUGCGGGUAUUCUUUGACUUGUGGCCACAUCGCUGCAAACUCUGCCUCCACGGUCACAUUGCCUCCUCCUCUUCUCUCUGUCUUCCCCUCUUCUGUCUGUGUCAAAUCCCCUUCUGCCUCCCUCUCCUGAGGGUACGGGUGAUGGCCUUUAUGCCCCCCCCCCACCAGAUAAUCCAGGAUAAUUCCCCAUCUCAAAACCCUUAAUCGCAUUUGCAAAGAUCAUGUUUUUGGCCGUGGGAGGUAACAUUCAUAGGUUCCCGGGACUAGGAUGUGGAUAUAUUUUAGGGAGGCAUCUUCAGCCUACUACAACCCCAAGCUUUAUACCCAAGGACAGUGAAAAGCAGUACAGCUCACAGGAUCAGUUUCCUCCAAGCGUAGUUUAGCAAGAACCUCGAGCAGGGUGAGGGGAAGGGGAGCAGAAGGCUGGCUCGGUUUGUCAAAUACUUUUUUUUUUUUUUAUUUUUUAUUUUUUCCAACGUUUAUUUAUUUUUGGGACAGAGAGAGACAGAGCAUGAACGGGGGAGGGGCAGAGAGAGAGGGAGACACAGAAUCGGAAACAGGCUCCAGGCUCUGAGCCAUCAGCCCAGAGCCCGACGCGGGGCUCGAACUCACGGACCGCGAGAUCGUGACCUGGCUGAAGUCGGACGCUUAACCGACUGCGCCACCCAGGCGCCCCUGUCAAAUACUUUUUUCAGCCACAGACAACAUUUCCACCCCUCUUGGUAGACUGGCCCCCCAGAUAUCCACAAGGCUGGCCUUCUCUUUAAUUAGGCUCUACAGUAGGGAAUGAUUACGAAAAGGACCUAAAAAAAUACACAAAGGGUGGGUCAUAUUUUAAAUAGGCAGAAACCCAGGAAAAUUUUCUACAAGCACAUUUUUCUAAGGAAAAAAAAAUUCUAAAUAUGCACACAGGUGAACCUGGACUCUAGGGAUGGGGCCCAUUGUACUUACUGUUACAUACCCACCCACUCCCUCUUAAUUCCAACAUGCUUAUAAAAUCACACAAAACCAGGAAGCAUUUUAAACUGCUUUCCACGUGAACAUCCUGCCACAUGCACCUCAAACUCAUUAUGUCUGACGGAGGACCCAGCACCUCACAGCACCAACAUGUUCUUCCUUAUUCGUUGCUCUAAGCUUGAAAGCUGCUGUGUUCAUCUGAGCUAGCAGAUCUUCAGAAUUUGAACCCCCGUGAACUGUAUGCAAACAUUUUUGCAUGUGUGCAUUUGUGCCUUUCCCAGGGGAGAAAUCCCUAGGCUUCAUCAGAUUCUCCACGGAAUCUUUGAGUUCAAAAGGGGAAGAAAGGUCUGCCCCGGCCCGGCACUCAAUCGGAUCUACAAAAUGCACACACAUAGGCAUGUGCGUUUGCAAUAGAGAACACCCACUGCUUUGUUUUUGCGUGCGUUUGUCAAAUUUUCAUGCAUUGUUGUCAUAAGUGUUCAGGAUAGCUGACUGGGAGUCAUAGUAAAAUUUGCCACCAUUCCCUUCCCAAGUAGGGCUACGUGGCCAGGAUCAAGUAUAAAAGUAAGGUUUUGGUCUCUCUGAAGAAAUGGAUUUUGCCCGUAAGAACAAGGAAGCAGGGGACCAUGAUGAGUACUUUUUCUGUGUGGAAGGAUUAUCCUGAUGUGCCAACAUAUAGACCUUCACAUUCCGGGAAUGCUUGCCUCCACCUCCUCCAACUUUGCCUAAUUCAUCCUUACGUCUCAGCUUAAAUACUUCUUCCCCCCCAGGGAAGGCUUCCUCAAUUGUCACUGCUGGGAAAAGAUUAUAGACUCAAGUUUUGAAAUACGGGUCUCGCUGCUCACGGAAUAUCUAUAUCCAGGGAAGGAAACUGACCCCAGCUGGAGACUGGAGACUGUCCCUUUGGUCUUAACUCUUGAAGUACCCCAAGAUUUCCCUCUAACCCCAUCCUUUUCUGGAAUCACUUUGGUUGCACAGGAAAGGUAGCGCUGGUACUCAGCAUUAAACCGAGUACUUUGUACAUUUGAGUUUUAGUUUGUGUUGGGUUUGCAACUUCCUUCUUUGUAUAUUCACACACUUCAGUAGGCUAUUACAUCAGAAAAGAGAUUCAAAUAGACAUUUAGAAAACAAGGAGAGUCACAAUACUCCUUAUGAAAACUAAGAAGACAAAAAAAUUGUCGUUGAAAACAGUCAUGAUGAAGUUUCAAGGAAUGAAACAUUAAGAUUUUCAUUAAAUUGUUCAUAGUUAGAAACUGUUAAGUUCUACUGAUAUUAGAGGGACCAGUUUUCCCUUCACAAUACGUUCUUUAUAUCAGCCCAUGUAUUUUGUUUAUGGCAUCGUCACAAUUACCAUUAUAAUACAUUUGCAUAACUUUAUGUUUAUUGCCUUUCUUUUGCACUUGUCCACAGCUCUGCAAGACAGAAGCUGCCCACCUCGCUAGUGCUUAGCAGUACCAUUUUCAGUAGAUACUAACAAAUAUCGGAUACACAAGUGGAUGGAUUAAUUAAUUCAGAAUUGUGAUUGUUUCCCUUCCCCAGAGAGAACCAUCCUUUGACCAUAGCAGGUAAUUGUCACAUUGGGUAGCAUUCUCGAAAUGGGCUUGUUCCACAUGCCUCUUCUUAAAGCAGGGUUUCUCUACCUCAGCACAAUUGCCCUUCUGGGCAGGAUGGUUCUUUGUUGUGGGGGCUGUCCUGUGCACCGUACGAUGUUUGACAGCAGCCUUGGCCUCUACCUGCUAGAUGCCAAUCUCACAACCCUCCUUAAGUUCUGCCAGCCAAAAGUAUCUCCAGACUUUGGCCAAUUGAACAACAAUGCUUAAAGACAGAAGAGAAGCACAGGAGGUAUUUCUGAAUCUAGGACAAGAUGAAGGAUGAAGAAGAGGAAAAGGCAGCUGCGGUUGAAUGCCCUUAAAGCUAUGCAUCUGGGGCUCUCCUUGAAGAGGGAUUUUGUGUUUGUUUUCAUUUACUAUCAUAAAUCUGUCCUCCCAAAAAACCUUUGCUUUGUAUACUUUGAUUUUUUUCUUUAUUAUUUCUUCAUUUCUUCCUGAAAAUAUCUUUUGAACAAUUCCAACUUUAUUUGUAUUGAACUAAGAAUAGGAAUUUAAUUUAAUUUAAUUUUUUUUUUUUUUUUUUUGUAAUUCAGUAGGACAGUUACCUGAGGCUGAGACAGAUGGGAGCCUAGAAAAGAUUACAGAAUUGGGUCAGCUCGGAUGUGGCUCCCGACACACCUGGGCCACUCUUCUCAGCGUGUUCAGCGACAGCUUCUGCGGGCCUCCUUCAGAGAAGCAGCAAACCACAUGGAAAGGUGACUGGAGGAGCUACCAGGAGUCAAGUUCUUUAGAGGGCAGGUGCUAGAAAUUGCUUAGUAAUCUGUCCGAGUUUCAAGUUUUCUCGGUUCUGGAUCUUUCUAAAUAAAGCAUGAGAGAACAGGGAGUUUAGAAGGGAUAAUGGUUUCUGAUGAAAUAGGAAGAAACACUUUUGCUUUAAAAAUUAAUGCAGCUGUUUCUGCAUCCUGGGGUCCUGCAUUUCAGUGUAGGAAACGUAACUGUUAAAGAAUAUGCAAAGAAUGAAGUUGCAAACCGAACACAAACUAAAACUCAAAUGUACAAAGACACGUCACUUUUCAUUUUCUGGAACAGACCCAAGUUUCAUGAGUCCCAUGCCACAGGGUGGCAGCCAGUUUGGUGGGUGGGGAGAGCACAUGAACUUUUCUAAUUAAUGGUGCGUUUGACUUAAAAUAUUCUGUGUUGACUAAACAUUCUGUUCAUUGAAAGUUGAACUUCCUGUGACAGCUGGGUUUCUCUUUUCCCUUCCUUUCCUCACCGUGGCAUCCAGGUGCAGAGGAAGGCUGAUAUCUCACUGGCCCUC